CGAAAGCCUGACGGAGCAAUACCGCGUGGGGGAGGAAGGCUCUUGGGUUGUAAACCUCUUUUCUCAGGGAAGAAAAAAAUGACAGUACCUGAGGAAUAAGCAUCGGCUAACUCCGUGCCAGCAGCCGCGGUAAUACGGAGGAUGCAAGCGUUAUCCGGAAUGAUUGGGCGUAAAGCGUCCGCAGGUGGCUGUGUAAGUCUGCUGUUAAAGAAUGAGGCUCAACCUCAUCAAAGCAGUGGAAACUACAUAGCUAGAGUGCGUUCGGGGUAGAGGGAAUUCCUGGUGUAGCGGUGAAAUGCGUAGAUAUCAGGAAGAACACCGGUGGCGAAAGCGCUCUACUAGGCCGCAACUGACACUGAGGGACGAAAGCUAGGGGAGCG
rnacentral:rRNA from 1 species